CCGUAUCCCGAAGAAUCCCUAAUUUUUUUCAGGAUAAAAACUACCCUAUAUGUUAAGUCUAACCAGAGCAU